GGGGAAUAUUGCACAAUGGAGGAAACUCUGAUGCAGCGACGCCGCGUGAGGGAAGAAGGUCUUCGGAUUGUAAACCUCUGUCUUCAGGGACGAUAAUGACGGUACCUGAGGAGGAAGCACCGGCUAACUACGUGCAGCAGCCGCGGUAAAACGUAGGGUGCAAGCGUUGUCCGGAAUUACUGGGUGUAAAGGGAGCGCAGGCGGGAAGGUAAGUUGGAUGUUUAAUCUACGGGCUCAACCCGUAUCAGCAUUCAAAACUAUUUUUCUUGAGUAGUGCAGAGGUAGGCGGAAUUCCCGGUGUAGCGGUGAAAUGCGUAGAGAUUAGGAAGAACACCAGUGGCGAAGGCGACUUUCUGGACAAUAACUGACGCUGAGGCUCGAAAGCGUGGGGAGCGAAC
rnacentral:rRNA from 1 species